rnacentral:lncRNA from 1 species
GUUUUGGAGCCUUUGGAGCAACAGAGAGAUUCAAGUUGAUAAAAAGAGGGCCAAGAAUGCAGGCAUGAAUUUAAGAUGGUGGAGGCUGAAGCUAUGCCUUCACGUUGGAGUUGUGCAUCUGGCUGCUUUUGCCAACUGAAGGAGUGAUUCGUUAUCACUGAUGCUGUAGCUUCUAGCAGGAAGGCGACUUUUUGGCAAAUCGGGCAUCUUCAACCGGGAGAACUUGGCUGAGUACAAAAGGGCUUUUGAAGCGGUGAGUGUAAAUUCAGACUCCUUUUUUUUCUUCCUUCCUUCCUUUCUUCGCCCUCUCUCUUCUCCUGUG